rnacentral:rRNA from 1 species
UUCAGACGAUGCGUCAUGCAUAUCAAUAAGCGGAGGAAAAGAAACUAACUAGGAUUCCCUCAGUAACGGCGAGUGAAGCGGGAAGAGCUCAAAUUUGAAAUCUUCAAGGUUUUACCUUGACGAAUUGUAGUUUAAAGAAGUGUUUUUCUGUUGGAGUUUUGGUAAAAGUUCUUUGGAAUAGGACAUCAUAGAGGGUGAGAAUCCCGUAUUUGACCAUUAUUUUCAGCUGUGUGAUACACUUUCAAAGAGUCGGAUUGUUUGGGAAUGCAGUCCAAAAUGGGUGGUAAAUUUCAUCUAAAGCUAAAUAUUGGCGGGAGACCGAUAGCGAACAAGUACCGUGAGGGAAAGAUGAAAAGAACUUUGAAAAGAGAGUUAAACAGUACGUGAAAUUGUCAAAAGGGAAGCGUUUUGACACCAGUGUUGUUUUUCUCGAAAAUCAAUUAAAAAGAGUUGGAUUUUGUGUUGUAUUGACCUUAACAGCUUGCUUCACUCUUUUCCUGCUUUUUUUUAAUGCACUUUUCGUUUAACAAGUCAACAUCAGUUUCUUUUGUUGUAAAAGGGUCAUUGGAAGGUGGCUUUCUCUUCGGAGAAAGUAGUUUAUAGCCUUUGAUCUCCUGCAAUCGGAGAGACUGAGGUCUGUAGCGUAGAUCCUUCGGGGUUAGAUACAUUUGUGCUAAGCUACAGCUUUUCAUAGACAACUUGUUGACUAUGUUUAGUCUUGUAACUUACCCGCUUAUGCUAUUUUACCUACGCUUAGGAUGUUGAUAUGCAUGACUGAUAU